CGGUCGUCGCGUCGCUCUGUGGAGCGGGGUCAGAAGAACGAUAUGGCGGACGUUCACCUGCGAUUGGCGGUCCGCGGCAAAACGAGUGUGAACGGUGGGACAGCUAAUGAGGCAACUCGACUCUGGAUGCUUGCAGAUCGUCUUUCGUGGGAAACUGAUUGCAAGGAUUGGGGCCGACGUUGCUGCCGUUCUGCUUGACGUUUUCCAGUCUCUUCUGUCUACUAGCAACGCCUAAUGGCUGACGGCGGCCCCUGGAUGACAUCGCGGCGCCCUCGGACCAGGACGGCAGCGGAGCGCUUGAGGUGCCGCUCUGCAGUGCUCCGGAUUGAAGCAUGCGGCCUGGCGGCGGCCGAUCGGCACAGAGGUCGGGUAAGGUAACUGCAUUCACCAACUGUAUCAGAGCGUGGAGAGAAGUGGCAGUCGUCAGCUUCGAUUCAGUCUAAUAAAAGUUUUUUGUUUUAAAUAUGUCAAAAGUAUUGAAGUUGCUGUUUUUGCUUCAGAAAUUAUAGAUUAACUUUCCCAUGGCUUUAUUUUGUAGAAGUGACCAUAUGUAGCGGGAAAAUAUAUGGAUUUACUACGAUAUAACACUGUCAACAGUGUGUAUUUUCAGAAAAUAAACACCCAAUCGAUCGAG
rnacentral:misc_RNA from 1 species